rnacentral:rRNA from 1 species
CACGUAGGGCGCAAGCGUUGUCCGGAAUUAUUGGGCGUAAAGAGCUCGUAGGCGGCUUGUCGCGUCGAAUGUGAAAACUCGGGGCUCAACUCCGAGCUUGCAUUCGAUACGGGCAGGCUAGAGUUCGGUAGGGGGAGACUGGAAUUCCUGGUGUAGCGGUGAAAUGCGCAGAUAUCAGGAGGAACACCGGUGGCGAAGGCGGGUCUCUGGGCCGAUACUGACGCUGAGGAGCGAAAGCGUGGGGAGCGAACAGG